CACCGGCGGCCCGAGUGGUAACCGCUUUUAUUGGGUCUAAAGGGUCUGUAGCCGGCCAAGUAAGUCCUUUGGGAAAUCUGGUAGCUCAACUAUCAGGCUGCCAGGGGAUACUGCUUGGCUUGGGACCGGGAGAGGUGAGAGGUACCCCGGGGGUAGGGGUGAAAUCCUGUGAUCCUCGAGGGACCACCAGUGGCGAAGGCGUCUCACCAGAACGGGUCCGACGGUAAGGGACGAAAGCUAGGGGCACGAACCGGAUUAGAUACCCGGGUAGUCCUAGCCGUAAACGAUGCUCGCUAGGUGUCAGUCACGGUGCGACCGUGAUUGGUGCCGUAGGGAAGCCGUGGAGCGAGCCACCUGGGAAGUAUGGCCGCAAGGCUGAAACUUAAAGGAAUUGGCGGGGGAGCACUACAACGGGUGGAGCCUGCGGUUC
rnacentral:rRNA from 1 species